ACAAUCUUAGAUAGUGCUCAAUAGUGUCAGCACAAUGUAUAAGAUCGUCUUGAUUAUUCCUUUGAUGUGUUUUGGAGCAGUAUGGUGCGGGCCAGUAACUUUGUCUGCCUGUACUGGUAUUCCUGCACAAACACCACCACCCCAAAUGCUCACCUAUGUCAAUAUAACAGGCUGCGCUGGAGCUACGUGUACCUUAAAUGCAGGUUCAACUGUUUCUGUGGAAAUCGCGUUCACUUCAGCUGGAAAUUAUGCUCAACUUUAUGUAAAUGGAACUGCUACAGUGGCAGGUGUGCAAUUGGCUCCUCAGCAAAUAAGUACGUGUGACAGUUCGGUAACAGGAACUAAUAAAUGCCCAAUUGUACCUGGUAGAGUGGUCUUGAGUACGUCUAGGAGCGAUUUGUCGAUCGUAAGGGGCACUUAUACUGCGACAAUGCAACUGAGAAUAGGCAGUAAUACCGCCGUAAGACCUAUUCUUUUCUGUUCACAAGCAACAUUAACGAUUACUGUUAAUUAAUAAUUUUGUCUUUGAAUUGGAUUGAAAAUAAAGGGCCUAUACGUACGAGAAUA